rnacentral:tRNA from 1 species
GGGGAUGGGCUGUAGCUCAAUGACAGAGCAUCUGUUUAGCAUGCAGAAGGCUCCAGGUUCUACUCCCAGUAUCUCCA